rnacentral:rRNA from 1 species
AUACAUGCAAGUCGAGCGAACCGACGGGAGCUUGCUCCCUUAGGUUAGCGGCGGACGGGUGAGUAACACGUGGGUAACCUGCCUGUAAGACUGGGAUAACUCCGGGAAACCGGGGCUAAUACCGGAUGCUUGAUUGAACCGCAUGGUUCAAUCAUAAAAGGCGGCUUCGGCUGCCGUUUACAGAUGGACCCGCGGCGCAUUAGCUAGUUGGUGAGGUAACGGCUCACCAAGGCGACGAUGCGUAGCCGACCUGAGAGGGUGAUCGGCCACACUGGGACUGAGACACGGCCCAGACUCCUACGGGAGGCAGCAGUAGGGAAUCUUCCGCAAUGGACGAAAGUCUGACGGAGCAACGCCGCGUGAGUGAUGAAGGUUUUCGGAUCGUAAAGCUCUGUUGUUAGGGAAGAACAAGUACCGUUCGAAUAGGGCGGUACCUUGACGGUACCUAACCAGAAAGCCACGGCUAACUACGUGCCAGCAGCCGCGGUAAUACGUAGGUGGCAAGCGUUGUCCGGAAUUAUUGGGCGUAAAGCGCGCGCAGGCGGUUUCUUAAGUCUGAUGUGAAAGCCCCCGGCUCAACCGGGGAGGGUCAUUGGAAACUGGGGAACUUGAGUGCAGAAGAGGAGAGU